GCUACACCGGAAAGGGGAGGGCGGAUGAGAGGCGGCCCUCCGUGGGGUGCAGUUUGAGUCUCUGCCUCCAUCAAAGGCUGCCGGCCCCAGCCCUUUAACCCUUUCCUGUUUGUCACCCUCCCCACAGGGCAGGGGGUUUCCAGCCCUACUCCCCAGCUGUUCUGGAGACUUUCCUCACCUCUCCCAUUCCUGGGACUCGGCCAGGGAGAAAGGCCCCAGGAGAGGGGAGGAUCGGCACCAGAAGCCAGGCAGGAGGGAAGCCAAACACUGGCUCCAGGGUGUGUGGGGAUGGAAAGCACAGUUGGCAGUGUUGGUGGCCGGCAGCUCUCCUGGAUGCUACACACUCCCUGCCCCUCACUGGCUUCCAAGCAGGGACGGAUUAUCCAAUAAGCAAGCCCAUAUGAGAUUGUGCGCUACGGAUUAGGACAGAGGCAGCCCGGCCCUCCCCACCCCCCAGCAGGGAGGAGAAACAAGACUUCCCAAGUGCCCAAGAAGAAGCAACAGGGCAAGAGUUUGAGCCACAAAGGGGCCAGGAGCUGUGGAAGCCGCUGGGUGCUGUCCUGGCAUCUCCUGCAGGUCACAGGAGUGGGGAAGUUCAGGGCUCUGCCAAGUGAACAGAGCAGGUUGGGCCAGUUAACCAAAUGGAGAGCUGCGUGCAAAGGCCAGCUUCUCACACUGAAGACCAGAGCCUACGCCUGGCCACACCCAGGAGAAAUGGGAUCUGUCUCACCUUCCCAAGGAGUCUGCAGAGCACAAGGAAGAGACCUGGGACCCAGAUGGUGCCAACAGUGUGCCUUGGAGCACAGCACAUGAUCUCUUAGCCAGUUUUCUCAUUCAGGACAUGAGGAGAAUAACAUUUCUUCCCUGUCUUGUGUGGAUGACUUGAAACAAUGUAUUCUGAUACACUUGGGAACCCUGAAGACACUUUCACAGGCAGGCAUUGAGGUCCACACAUCUUCAGUAGUUUGCGCAUGAUCUUCAGAGACUACUGGGCUGGAACCCAGGUGUGCCAACUUCCAACUCAGGACUCAAUGGCCUAAAUCACAUUUCCCAGAGGCUGGAGAGGUCUUCACUGUCCCGGCCAGCUCCGAGAUGGCAGUUGGAUAAGAAAUGGUCGAAACCAGGAAAUUCCAUGUUUCUAUUGAAUGUUGGCAGGGACUUUCCCAUGGCCACACCUGGUGGUUUCCUCUGCCAGCCCCACCCGACCACAGUGACACCAGGACAGGAGCCAGGCUGAGAGCUGCCUUAUGCUCAGAUGGAGACACCUGCUGAUCACACCAGCAGCUAGAGGCAUCGCUGCUGGGUCCUACCCAAAGGUGCUGCACUGCAGGUUCCCACAGCAUGACCAGGAGAAACAUCCUGGGUCCUCAUGUUCUUCACCCAACAUCCCCAGCUUUCCACCUGCCUGGCGUGUUGCACUUCCUUGGUGCUCCUGGGGUUGGUGGGGCCAUAUGGUUUCUAGGCCAAAGGAUUUAAUUGCUGAUGCUAGACUUCGCCCCACCCUCCCGGAGCUCCUGCCCUCUGACCCUCUGAUUCUGUUAGACUUGGUGGCUGCUCCCUUGGCUUGGGCCCCUGACAAUCAUGAGCAGAGCCUCCUGCUGGCCCACAAAGGACAUGCAGGUUUCAUGAGAAAUCAGCCUUUGUGGUUUUAAGGAUCCCCUGGGUGGCGGAAAGGGUUCUGUGCUUGACUACUAACGGAAAGGUUGGUGGUUCGAACCCACCCAGAGGUGCCUCGGAAGACAGUCCUGGUGAUCUGCUUCCAAAAGGUCACAGCCUUGAAAACUAUAUGGAGUAGUUCUAUUCCACACACAUGGGGUUGCCAUGAGUUGGAAUCAACUUGCCGACAACAAACAUGUUUUGUGCCACUGAGGUGUGGAGGUUGUUGUGGUAACAAUCUAGCCUAUCCUUCACCCAUUUCUCCCUGAGGAAUCUGCUCCACCCUCGCCAACACCCCAUGCUCCUCUCUCCAGCAAGCCCAGUCUCUCUUUCCCAGUGUCUUUAGCACCUUCACACACAACAAGCGUGGGUCCUGCACCUACCAUGAAUCAGGAACUGUGCUGAGACACAGAGGAGGCCUGAGCUCUCCCCCAGAAGUUCAGGUGAGGGCUCUGAUAUAGAUACUCCAGCAGGUGGUGAUUUUGUAAACCUGGAGGAGGGGGAGUGGGGUGGUCAAGAAGGGCUUGGCAGGGGAGGGGCUGCUUGGCCAGACUUUGGAAGGAGAGGAGUUGGGCAGGGAAAGGGGGGUUUGGAUAAGGCAUUCCGAGCAGUGGGAACACAUGCAAAGCACAGAGGCCUGGGGACAGCGUGGCUUGUUCAGGGUGAACAUGGAGGCUAGAGAAAAGAGGGAGAGGUAGGCUGGAGCUGUGUGCAGUGAUGGGUUUUCAGUGGGCAUCCUCUGGGAAAUCGGC